GUCUGGUAAUAUAGAAAUAUGUUUUUCUAGUCAUUGUGUAAUUGACACAAUGACUAGAAAAACAUAUUUCUAUAUUACCAGAA
rnacentral:pre_miRNA from 1 species